GUCUAGUCCCAGUGAGGUUGUAUUUUACAACGAAUUGAUCACAACCAGUUACAGAUUUCUUUGUUCCUUCCUCACUCCCGCUACUUCAUUUGACUAGCCUAAA
ensembl:misc_RNA Y_RNA Y RNA